GAAAAAACGAGGCUUCAACCCUCAUUUUCUUCCCUGCCAGUCAACCUCUCAUCUCUCUGCGCGAAGCCAGGCAAACGACUUGGGAUGACACUAAGGAUGGCUCGCAAACAGUGGUGAACACCGACAAUAAAUGAGUUGUACGACUCAGACGGCGUCGAUGUGGACAUCGUCGGAGUUGGGUUCACAUAGGGAUGGGCUCACGAGGGAUUGUAUUAUUGAUCUCUUUAUUUGAUUCUUUUAGCUGAGAAUUGGUUGUGAAACCAAGUUUGUCAAUUAAAGUUUGUUAAUUCAUUUAUGAUUUAUUUCUUCGUACAUCCAUUUUAUAGUUGAUCAAUUCAUCUUAACCCAUUUUUAUGUUUAAUCUAGGUAAUUGAGUUCUUAAAAUGAAUUUUAAAAAUGAUUGGGUUUUAUCUACUUGUAUAGUCUAUUAGCUUUAAAAUGUUGUUAUUCUGACAUUUUUAUUUGAAAUUGUAUGGAUAACAAAAGACAAUAUAUGGUAAUAAUUUAUCAGGUCUAUGCCUGUGUGUUCUAGAUUCAUAUUUUUAUAAAGUACCAGUUUAAAAUUUUCUAGAGAACUUAAUUUAUCAAACCAAGUAAUGAGAAUAAAACUCAAUAAUGUGUCAAAGUGACAAGUGGAAGAAAAAAAAUGACAACACUUAAGCUUCUGAAAAGAUGUGUUUUGCUAAUUAUGCUUAGAACACAACAUAUAGAGUUAAUGUUUUUUUUUACUAAUUGACAAGCUUUGAUUUGAAUUGCAGUCACAUGAGGUGAUAUAUCAUUUCAUUUUUUUUUUCUUUUGUCAAGGUUAAUCUCUUUGCAAAGCAUAUUGGCAAAUCAGCCGAGCAAAUUGAAGCUGACAUCAGGCGUCCAAAAUAUUUUAGUCCCGGUGAGGUAGUUGAAUAUGGUGUCAUAGACAAGGUAAGUUCACGGUAGAAGGUAACAAGUAGCAUCUCAGGAAUGCGUGAGACUGUUGAAACAAGUUUGCUUUUACAACACAGGGCAAAGGAAGUAGUACCAAUUCUUACUUUGGAAAGACUAUUGGUAACGAUAGUGAGUACAAGGACAAGAAGAAGAAAUAUAUGUUGUUGGACAAUGAAUUUAGUGUUUUAUUUUAUUUGUAAUUUUUAUUAGAGUAAAUGAUUAUUUGUAAAUACUUUGUAUAAGUUUUGUUAUUUUAAUCUAUACUAUUUUAUAUA